CCGGCAUCGGCGCGGUCGUCGCGCGCCGCCUCCUCGAUCGGGGCGAUCAGGUCGUGGUGCUCGCCCGCGAUGCCGGGC
rnacentral:tRNA from 1 species